rnacentral:snRNA from 1 species
UUAGCUCUCUUUGCCUUUUGGCUUAGAUCAAGUGUAGUAUCUGUUCUUUUCAGUUUAAUCUCUGAAAGUUAACUACGGUUAACCCAUUGAUUAUACUUAUUUUUGUCCCUCGGAGGAUGGCCUCUGGGCUUGCCCAUGCCCUCUUCCACCGUGUCUCUGGUAUUACACUGCCUCCAGACGAUGCGAACCCUUU